rnacentral:lncRNA from 1 species
UUUUAAUUGUGAUUGAAUUCAAAAAAAGUAGGAAUUAAAGGGACGGAGAAGUCACAAAAUGGAUGGGGAAGAAAGAAGGGCAGAAACGAGCAGGAAGAGGACAAGAAUAAGAGCAAAAAUUGAAGAGGAAACUUCAGAUUUUUCUGCACAAAACAUUGAUAGUUGUGCAAAAAAUUUGGAUUUAAUUACGUACCGUCGACGAAAUAUUGUUAGGAGAUUUAUAAUAAUUAAAAAAGAAGACAAAGAAUCAUUAUUGGGAUUUGUGUGAUGAAGAACGAUGAUAGCUCAGAGUAUUUUUU